CCUACGGGAGGCAGCAGUGGGGAAUAUUGCACAAUGGGCGCAAGCCUGAUGCAGCCAUGCCGCGUGUAUGAAGAAGGCCUUCGGGUUGUAAAGUACUUUCAGCGGGGAGGAAGGGAGUAAAGUUAAUACCUUUGCUCAUUGACGUUACCCGCAGAAGAAGCACCGGCUAACUCCGUGCCAGCAGCUGCGGUAAUACGGAGGGUGCAAGCGUUAAUCGGAAUUACUGGGCGUAAAGCGCACGCAGGCGGUUUGUUAAGUCAGAUGUGAAAUCCCCGGGCUCAACCUGGGAACUGCAUCUGAUACUGGCAAGCUUGAGUCUCGUAGAGGGGGGUUAGAAUUCCAGGUGUAGCGGUGAAAUGCGUAGAGAUCUGGAGGAAUACCGGUGGCGAAGGCGGCCCCCUGGACGAAGACUGACGCUCAGGUGCGAAAGCGUGGGGAGCAAACAGGAUUAGAUACCCUGGUAGUCCACGCCGUAAACGAUGUCGACUUGGAGGUUGUGCCCUUGAGGCGUGGCUUCCGGAGCUAACGCGUUAAGUCGACCGCCUGGGGAGGACGGCGCGAGUAACGUACGAANAGAGUGACGCGUGAGACGUGCGACGGACGACGACGAGGGAGGAGG
rnacentral:rRNA from 1 species